UACCUACGGGAGGCAGCAGUGGGGAAUAUUGCGCAUUGGGGGGAACCCUGACGCAGCAACGCCGCGUGCAGGAAGAAGGUCUUCGGAUUGUAAACUGUUGUCGCAGGGGAAGAAGACAGUGACGGUACCCUGUGAGAAAGUCACGGCUAACUACGUGCCAGCAGCCGCGGUAAUACGUAGGAUGCGAGCGUUAUCCGGAUUUAUUGGGUUUAAAGGGUGCGCAGGCGGAGGUGCAAGUCAGCGGUCAAAUUGCGGGGCUCAACCCCGUACUGCCGUUGAAACUGCAUCCCUUGAGUGCGCGAGAA
rnacentral:rRNA from 1 species